UCCAUCUGCACGAAAUUAAAUUGUUUACAACUUAAUAAGUAAACCUUAAUCGAUAUAUCAAUUUUUGAAUUUGUUUUGGCCUUUAUAAUCCUUCAACGAUAUUUUUGUUAUUCGGUUAUUCCUGAAUUCUCAGUUGAGAUUAAAAAGCAAAUCUCGAUUUCUAAAGUCCUAACUUGGACCUGUUCAAAUAUGUAAAUAUCUUUGUAGGAAUUGUAAAAUUUUAAAUAUAUAUGAUAUAACCAGAAUUAUCAAUGCUACAGUAAUUUAUAUAAAUUAUUUUCAAUAUUUUUAAAAAACAUUUAUGUUAGUAAAAAGUAAUUUUAAGUACAUUGUUUACAAAUACGAUUUAUGAGUUAUUUAUGAACUUCAAACGCAUUUUUCCUUUCUUCUAUUAGAAUUCCGUUUACUGUUAUCAGGAACAGUUUUGGAAGAUUAAAGAAAUUAAUCCAUGUUUUGCACCUGGCAUCUCAAUAACAAUGCGUAAAUAUCAUAUAUAUUCUUAAAUUUUAUAUUUACUUGUAUAUAUUGUUGCAAGGAUUAGGACAGUAAUUUUCAAAGGAUUAAGAAAAUCGCUAUUUUACCUGACCUAUUCUAAUAACAAUAAACAUGUUAUAAUCGGAUCAAACUUAAAUAAAACUGAAAUCGUUACUUAUAUUUUCCCUAAUUCGAAUGACCUGCUCCCUACCUAAACAAGUAGGAGGGGGUAUUUGCAGCAGAAUUUGUAUAUAUAUAAGUUAGGGAAGAGACUGAAGAACUUAAUUCGAAAUUCCCAUCAUUCCAAGUCAGUCGUUCCUUCAAGAACUGAAUCAAAAAUCAGUAUCAUACGUUCAGUAUCAUAAUCACAGUGAAUAAUCAUGAACAUCACACUACAUGUGCAAACAAGAGUUUUGCCUCUAAUUAUUGUUAAUAAUGGUAGAAAUGAAGAUGCAUAUUUGGUGCGUGUUAUUAUAAACUCUUCGAAUAUCGAAAUUCACUGUGUGUAUUUUGUGCAUGAAAGGAUAUCCUUGCUGUAUGUUAUUAUAUAUAAUUUGGAAAAUGUGCGGGAGAAGGAUUUUGAGACUGGACGAUGUGCAGACGAGGUGUGAUACUGCUAUUUUUACAUCCUCGUCAAAUAUAAUUUGGAAAUUGUAUGGGAGAAGAAUUUUCGGACUGGAUCAUAUCAUUAAUAAAACAUAUAAGAUUAAUUAUAAUAUUUUUACAUCCGUCACUGCAUUUCUUGUUUAUUGUCUUCUUCUUGGAGAAAUUGAAUUUAAGUUCUUCGAAAGAAGAGGAUAAUGAUUGUUAAUUAUAACGUGAUAAUGGAAAAUUGUAAAUUUUCUAAUGUUUUUAAAGAAGCAAUGUAAAAAAAAUAAUUUUAUUUCUUUUUUGUAAGAUAAGCAUAUUAUGUAAAAUGUAUUAAAUAAUUUAAUACUUAUAUGUAAAUAAAUUGUAAUAUGUAAAUUAAUUUAGUUAUAUGUAAAUAAAUUUUUUUAUAUUUUUGCAAAA